UGGACGGACGGCAAGACGGGUCGCCGACAGCGUCCGUUGGUCGCGUCCGGGCACGGCACGCGCGCUGCCGGCGCAUUUCGCAUCAGCCCCCAUAGACCCGGCGACCGGUCGGUCCUCACGAUUCACAUUUAAAUUGAAUACGCUUCAUGUUGAUUGUUUUCAUGUUUUGGCGGGAAAUCGUCGCUUUUCGGUUCAGAAUUUUUUCGUUUAAAAUUACCCGGUUUUUCUGUAACGCGGUGUGUUCGGGUUACGAGUGUCUCUCGUGUGCCUCAGGGUCUUCUAAGGACAGACCAGAAGGCACGGCUCAUUCUUCGGUUGCAAACAACGCUCACGAAAGUUUUCCGUCGUAAUGUAUCGCCUUAUAAAGCAUCUAGUCGGUGUUUUUUUUAGAUCGUAGUAAUCUCGGGUUUUAUCUCACUGUGUCGCAGUGUGUGUGUGUGUGUGUUCGCCAUGGCGUAUGUACUUGUACAAGUCGGUUAUAUGCCAAAGAGAUGCAACCAAUAGCUUUUUUUUCCGCGUGUUUUAUCGUUUGUGUAGUAUUCUAGUUGUAUACUCAUGAUAUAUGGAUCUAUCGGGAGGCACACGUAUUUACGUACCACGACUGUAGUCCGCUAGGUUUCUAUAGAAGUAUUUUAGUUGUUUGCGUACGUAGGGGGAAACUAUCUAUGCAAAGUCGGGUAGUAGGGGAAUGCGCGCGUGUCGGAGAGUGCACUUGCACAUGUGUUUGCAUCAAGCAUGAGUUUUCAGUAAGGGCUAGGGGAUUCCCGGUGUCAGUUAACGGGAGGUUGUGACGUGACAUCCGUCCACCGGUCUUGAUUCGCGAGAGUGAAUCACUUGUGAGAGAGACAGAGGAACAACGCGAUUGCGGAUUAGUCUAGAGUUGUUGCAACGUGUUUACAUUGUGUGGGUGCACACGUGCACAUGUGUUUGCGAGUACCUGUUUCUUACUGACACCCUACUCUUUGCGUAGUUGUCCUUCGAGCAAUCAACGUCAAGUGAGUGACAGAAGUUUAUAUAUAUAAUUAUUUAGUCCAGCGCGUUGAGCGAAAUGUUAACUGCGAGCUAUAGCGAAAUUAGCCUUUCAGUUUAAUUAUAUAUCUCUAUAUAUGCUUGUUAAAUGUACUCAUUUUCACUAUUGUUUACAAUUACUAUUAUGCCAUAUUAUAUCAACUCGAUUCGAUGUUAUUGGUACAUUGGAGAGCGUCAGCCCACUGGGUGCGUGCGCACUACAGGUAUGGCUGUCAUUGUCCGGCAAGAGAUGCCCCAGGUGUAGUAAUGACGUCACUCGUGUCCGCACGAUGGCGCCACUCGACCGUGUCCUCCAUCCCUAAUUUUAUAGCGGCCGCUGGUGUGAAUCGCCCGCAUCGUAUCGAGGAUACGUUCAUGUCGUGUCACAUUCUGACCAUGCAUGGUGUGUCAGCUUGUCAUCAUGUUAAAGGCUGACCAUUCCAUGGUGCACCAGUCGGUCAUCAUGUUAGUCUUGACCAUUCUAUGGUGCACCGGGUAGCCAUCAUGCUACAGUCUGACUAUUCCAUAGUGUGUCAUGUUAUCCAUGUCAUGUGUGUCCAUAAUUAUUAUUAUACCAUGUUACAGUCUUGACUAUUCCAUGGUGCACCAGGUUAUCACCAUGUUACAGUUUUGAUCAUUUCAUGGUGCACCAGGUUAUCACCAUGUUACAGUUUUGAUCAUUUCAUGGUGCACCAGUUGGUCAUCAUGUUGCAGUCCGAUCGUUCCAUGGCAUGUCGUCAAUGCUCUAGCUGUUGCCCAUCUUACCACCACCAUCAGUGGAUUUUGUGCAUCGUACCACCACUUCCAUCACGAACUCUCGUUACUAGGUUUCACGAGGAAAGGUUUCCCGGGAGCACACUAGUAAUUUGUGUGGUUUUAUUACUUACGUGGAGUUCUACGGUAAGACGUCCUUUGGCUUACACGAAACAAUUAUUGGGACUCUGUGUAGAGCACCAAGCAAAUGAUGAGUCUUUACCGACAUGAAAGAAAUAGUCUAAAAUGUUCCACGUUGGUGGUUUUUCCUGUGAGUAACUACGUACACGUUCGAAUCGGCUAUGUAUAUCAAAGACUAUAUAUAGUUUCCUCUGGUUCAAAUCCAAAUUUCACCCAAUGUUAUUCACCCAGUUUUUAGGACACGGGGCGUUUUAACCAAGAGCUUUUAAUAACGAAAUCUUCCUUUGCCUUGGGGUCAUCACGUGACAAUGGCCAGCUAGGGUUCAGACCAGGAAAACACUCAUGAAUGUGCUGUUUUUAUGUGAAAGGAGUUUACAUGUUACACGGAAAAUAAAACUGAUAACUGUCCACGAAA